UCUGAAUGUAGGCAGGAGUGUCAGUGAGGAAUUGUCUAGAUUUGGCUUCCUCAUGGGCAUGUCUGUGGGGGAUUAUCUUGAUUACGUUGACUGACCCAGCCUAUAAAUACAGUCCAUUAAAAGGUAACCAAGAAUCUCUUCUUCCCAAUGUCACAAAUACUAUACCUGAAUAUGUGGAGUUCAUCUGAUUCUUCAGGCCCUCAUGGACAGUUCUUGAAGAAAGUAUUCUGGGUCAAGAAAACAAAGGAAAAAAAAAUAGUGAAAUUACCUUUAAUAGCAGCAAAGCCUGCAGGUGGCAAGCAGUAUAAAGAACUUGGACUAUCCUGCACCUUCCUGGAAAGCAACAAGUUCCUAGCAUAGUGUUCAAUGACAUACCUUCCCACCAGGUGCCCCUUGUGUUCUGCUCGCUGAUGGUGGAGAACCUGGGAAGUUCUGUGGAUGUUUUUUCCCAUGUGCCUCUUGAAAGGCUAGAUUAUCUCAUCUCUGCCUUCUCAGUGAUAAAUUCAAUACGUGUUCAC